CAACUACUCCCUCUGUCCCAAAUUUCUUGUCUUAGAUUUGUCUAGAUACGGAUGUAUCUAAUACUAAAAUGUGACUUGAUACAUCUGUAUCUAGACAAUUCUAAGACAAGAGUUUUGGGACGGAGGGAGUACUUU
rfam:Triticum aestivum genome assembly, contig: Triticum_aestivum_CS42_TGACv1_scaffold_288166_4AL